GGGCUGGGCACUCACGCAGCGGAGAAGUUCUCUGCCUGCAGCCAGGCCAUGACGUCUUCAGGCUUUGAGAUUCCAGGGCAAGUUGCAGUGUGAGCCCAGCACAGACGUGAGAGCCAGCGGAACCAGAGGCUGGCUUACACAGUUGCUGUCCGUCCCGUGCCUGGAUGGCUGGACACUGUUAUGAGAUGGGACGUCCAGAAUCCUCGAGUGAUUUCAUUUUAAUGAUUGAGCCAAGAGAGCCCGUGAGAACAGGUUGUUUCAGGUGGAAACGAUCCAAGUGUCCAUCAAAAAAAAUGAAUGACAAACAAAAUAUGAUAAAACCAUACAAUGGAAUAUUAUUUAACUGCAAAAAGGAAGGAAAUGCUGACACAUGCUACAAGGAUGAACCUCGAGGAUGUCAUUGAAUGCCAAGGAGAUGAACAGUCAACCUGGAGCUUGAAACUAUGAGUGCCUUUCUGCCUCAGGGAACCGAAACUGCUGUCCUGAAGACAAAUUGCUUGAUUAUUUCCCCAGCUAAAAAUUAACCAGACUGUGCUUUUCUGUACCUAGCUGUUAGCGCCACAGAAUCUCCCUCACCCUACAAAAUCAUCUGUAGGUUGGAUGACCAGUUGAAGAUAGUCUCCUUUUGUCU